GGAGGUUACUACCAGACCAGAGCAUUAGCUCGUUCAGGAGGUUACUACCAGACCAGAUUGUUAGCUAGUUCAGGAGGUUACUACCAGACCAGAGCAGAGUGCUAGCUAGUUCAGGAGGUUACUACCAGACCAGAGCAUUAGCUCGUUCAGGAGGUUACUACCAGACCAGAGCAUUAGCUCGUUCAGGAGGUUACUACCAGACCAGAUCGUUAGCUAGUUCAGGAGUUUACUACCAGACCAGAGUGUUGGCUAGUUCAGGAGUUUACUACCAGACCAGAGUGUUGGCUAGUUCAGGAGAUUACUACCAGACCAGAGUGUUGGCUAGUUCAGGAGGUUACUACCAGACCAGAGUGUUGGCUAGUUCAGGAGGUUACUACCAGACCAGAUCGUUAGCUAGUUCAGGAGGUUACUACCAGACCAGAGUGUUGGCUAGUUCAGGAGAUUACUACCAGACCAGAGUGUUGGCUAGUUCAGGAGGUUACUACCAGACCAGAGUGUUGGCUAGUUCAGGAGGUUACUACCAGACCAGAGCGUUAGCUAGUUCAGGAGGUUACUACCAGGCCAGAGUGUUGGCUAGUUCAGGAGGUUACUACCAGGCCAGAGCAGAGUGUUAGCUAGUUCAGGAGGUUACUACCAGACCAGAGCGUUAGCUAGUUCAGGAGGUUACUACCAGACCAGAGUGUUAGCUAGUUCAGGAGGUUACUACCAGACCAGAGUGUUAGCUAGUUCAGGAGGUUACUACCAGGCCAGAGUGUUGGCUAGUUCAGGAGAUUACUACCAGACCAGAGCGUCAGCUAGUUCAGGUGGUUAUGGUUAUGUAACCCAUAGUCUGUUAGACUUUGCUCUAUUCCCCAGGGCUGACUGUCACCCAGGCAACCAGUGCUUAGACCUAUCUGAUCAAUGACACUGCUCUUUAGACCUGUCUGAACAAUGACAUACUGACUGUCGCAGCAAGGGCCUAUCUUUCAGACAGUAGAAGGCAUUUGCAUUCGCACCGUGCUUCUACACCUGCAUUGCUUGCUGUUUGGGGUCUUAGGCUGGGUUUCUGUACAGCACUUUGAAAUAUCAGCUGAUGUACGACAGUGAUGCAAUUAAUGCAUACACAUAGCUGCACUAAAGAUCAAUCUGUAGAAUGAAAAUGGCUCUCACUCCCCCUCAUUGCUGCAUCUACAGCAGUGUCUGAAUACUCACUGUGGUUUAAGAGAAGAGAAGGGUAGAGUUGAGAAGAGCGA